rnacentral:lncRNA from 1 species
AUGAGUUUAAAACAUAACAACAUUGUUUAAAACGUAGACUUCAAAAUUUAAGUUUUACAAACCAGAUGAAUUUUGUAAAAGUUUGCUAAGGACUCGUCAAUGAUAAUAGUUGUAAUCCAAGUUUGGAAGACGUGUCUCGUCCAGGAUUAAGACACACCGGCCAAACCCAAAAACCAUGGAUGACAUCUUUAUACUUAACAUGACUUGAAAUUCCAACGCCCGCCAGAUCCGUACUUAAUUUCCUGAAAUACAUGUAGUUUGGAAAACAUCAACAAAAGUUGAGCGAGUUCAUGUAUUGUGAAAUAUGUCUGUAUAAAUGUAUGUCCUUGGUAUGUAGCAAUAAGGAAAAACAGAUCAAUUAA